rnacentral:misc_RNA from 1 species
AACUUAAUUUUUUUUAAUAGAAACUCUCACUUUUUAAUUUUGUAUAAAAUUUUAAGUAUAUUUUGUAUACCAUGUCCUAUACCUAACCUCAAUAUUUAUUAAGAAAUUUGCGAUUAUUUUUUUUUUAAAUUUGUUAAAUAUAUAAAAAAAAUUAUAAAUUAAUAAUACUUUAAUUUAUAAUUUAUCUAAUACUUUAUCUUAUUUACCUGAAUUAAACGAAAUUUGAAUGGACGGAUGGGUAAUAACAGGAAGGAAAAAAGGAGAGUAAAGGUAUACAAGUGAACCAAUGGAAGGAGGGAGACUUACUAUAGACUAUAGAGGUGACGGCUCAGAGGAUCUUCUCAAAGGGAAGCCACUUUGGUAGAGUGGCGUGGAUUCCACAAGGGUGUUCAAUAAAAUAUAAGCGCCACCUGUUUUAUUCCAGAUGGAUAAGAAAAUCCCGAUGACCAAGAAAACAGGAAAUUACUAAAAGCACUAUACCUAUAAACCUGAAGGAAAAUCUCACAAGGAAGAACAGACAGGGAGAUAUAUAAAUACAAUUAAUUAAAUUGACCCUUAAUAUUACGUACAAGUGUUAUGGUGUAAUUAAUAAAUUAACAAUAAAAUAAAUAUUAACACUUUACUUUGGCUAUUAAAUUAUAUGCUAUUAAAUUACAGCUUUGAGAGAGCACCUUAAAACUCAUGGGCUCAGACCAAAAGUCCCUUGUCUAACUUAGAAAGUUAGGUUAUCUUUCAAAAAUCAAAAUAAACAUAAAAGAAAAGCUUUAGUUCUGAGAUACAUUCAAGUAAAUCUAUAUUAAAAGAAAAGUUAAUAAUCAAACUUAUUACUUUAAAAACAAGUUAUGUUGCCCUUCCUGAAUAUAGUGUCUAUAUCAAGGGUAAAAUCUCAUAUUCUGUUGUUUGGGGCUAAAAGUUCGCGUGAGUACUUUCGAAAUAGCCUAUUUAUCCAGUUUACAAGGAGAUCUAUACAGUCUAUUUCAAUAAAAUUACUAAUAUGCACCUAGUUAUUAUGAAACUAUUCAAAACAACAGUGUAGUAGUGAAAUCUAAUAAUGAGAGUGAUAACAAUGUAAUUUUGAGGUUAGUAUUUAGUAUAAUAUACUACAGUAAAGCUAAUGUUGAUAAGACUUAGGUUUACUGGUUAGGUGGUUUACUGACUGCAUGGUUCACUAUACAUCACAAACAUUGAUCAAACCUGGCUCCAAAAAGGCUGCAUGAUUGAGAUGGAGGACCUGGGUGGAUCGGUUUAACAGUGAAUGUCAAUGUAGUUGUUGUGGAGAUUUCUACCUCUUAUAAUAGUGGAUAAAAACCAUACCGGGGAGAAAAAAAAGCCUGAAAGUGGAAGAAUACCCAGAUUGAGGAAUCGCCAAUAGAGUAAGUAGAUAUAAGCAUUGAUGGUUAAACUUAACGGUAUGCUUGAGUCUACUUAUAUAAAAUUACAUGUGUAAUAUGUAGAGUAUCAUAAACCAAGAUGCCAAAUGAAAAUAUUAGGACUUACCAAAGGAAUUGGCCUUUUCUCGGGAACACAAAAAUGGACACUUAAACAAAAAACCUUGAAAAAGUUGGGAUUUAACUACACCACUUAUAAUCCUGCACUAUUGCAGUAUGGCAUUUAGUAUCCACAAACUAAAAUACCCAAAAGGCGAGUUUUCAAAUUUUCAUUGCAGUAAAACCUUCAAAAAUACCAAGAAACAACCUUCUUCAAAGGCUUGUUCUUCAAGGCUCCUAAAGGUCAAAGAUUUUCGCGCCAGAAAUGGUUUUAGUAGAGAUAUAGGAGAAUGAGCUGGGAUCUUAUUGGCUAGGAUAUGACUUCUGACAUUAGUAAAAUCAAAACAAUUAAAAAAAAUUAAUAUUAUGAUUAAUAAUUUGAGUUUUAUCAUAAGGGUUUAAAAUUAUUGAUAUCAAAAAUAGAAUUAAUACUGAAAUGAUAACUGUUUAUUUUAUUAACUUUAGCACCAGAAUAACUUAAAAAUUGCCUCUUAAAGUUCUAUAAUCCAGCUAUGCUUUCGCUAACAUUUUGGAUUCAUUCUAUUUUCUUAUUCUUUAUGUAUCUGGAGAAAAUAAACUGUAGCAAAUUUAAUCGCAAUAAUUUUUUUUAAAAAGCGAUUAAGUUUAAAAAAAAACAAAAAAAAUUAAAAUAAAUAUUCAACUUCUUGACCAUUAACUUCCUGACAGUAACCAAGUCGAUAUUCAAAUUCUUGUAAUACUUUUUGAUACUUGUUUCAGGCCGGAUUUGUUGUAUUUCGGCUCUAAUUCUAUUUUUUAAAUCUUCUAAACUUUCAGGUGUAUCAAAAUAGUAUCUAAUCUAAUAAAACUUUAAAUUUUAUAUAACCCCUAUAAAAAUCCAAUGGGGUAAUGUGCCAACCUUGCUGAACAUUCAAUAAAACCCCCUUCCAAUCCACAUAUUUGGGAAAAUGUUGGUAAGGUAAUCUCGUACUGUUCGCGAAUAGUGUGUGAGGGCGCCAUUCUGUUGGAACCAUAUCGAAUCUGCCGGUAUAAAUGGGUUUUCACCAUUUGAAUAAAGUGCAAUUAAACUAGGUACUAUCUGAUUUUGAAGCAACUCUAAAUAUUUUUCAGAGGUAAGUGCGGCCUCAAUAAAAUAGGGACCCACAAUUGACGUGCCCACAAUUCCUGUCCAUACGUUUAAUUUCUUAGGAAAUUGUGUGUGACUUUCCAUACUCGAGUGUGGAUUUUCUGGUGCCCAAUAACGAAAAUUUUUCUUAUUUACAGAACCAUUCAAAAAAAAACUUGCCUCGUCGGAAAAACAAUCCUACUUAAAAACUGUGGGUUUGCAUUAUAUUUAUUUAUCAUUAUUUCGCAAAACUCUAUUCUGCGGAUGUGAUCAUUUUCAAUAAACUUCUGAAUUAAAUGAAUUUUAUAUGGAUGCCAUUUAUUCCUAUGUAAAUAUUUUAGAACACAUGAUUUACUAACAGACUGAUCUGCAACAACUUGUCGAGUUGAUUUAUGUGGUUUUUCUUGUAAAUCGAGCAAAACAUCUAAUUGUCUGUUUUCUGGAAGCGUGGGACGGUCUAGGUCAUAUUUGUCUCUAACAUGACCAAAAUCUCUAAACUUUUUUUAAUUUUGCUUACUACCAAACGUCUAAUAGGCCUCUCCGAGUACUUAUUGUUAAACAGAUCGCAAACUUCGGCCUGUGUUCGAGUCUUGUCGCCACCAUCAUCCUAAUAACAUACCCUACCAUAAAUCAACAUAUCCUACCAUCAUCAAAAUUUCAAUUCUGUUUUUCAGUUAAACGCGCCAUACUUUUAAACUUUGCAACUGUAAUUUACGUAAAGUAACACAUACUGUUUCCAUGCGAUUAAAUGGUGACAAGGUGUCAACGAGCAAAUAUACCUGUUAAAAAACUAUAAAAAAACAUGUUUGAAUAUGCUCAAAUGAUCCAAACAGUUGCAAAUUUAUUAAUAAUGUUAGUAUUAUUAGGUAUAACACAUAGUAUACAAAAUAUACUUAAAAUUCUAUGCAGAAUUCAAAAAUGGAAUAAAAAAUAGAUGUUUCCAUUUAAAAAAUUGAAGUUGAUGGUCGUUGCUUAUUUUUGGUUCACCCUGUAUAUAUAAAUUCAUCAUCAAAAAAGUCGCAAAAAAAAAUGAAAAUCGACUUGUCUGAGCGUUUUUUUUUCGAACACAGCUCUGAAUUUUAAAUGAAUUUGUUCUAACUUGCGCGUCCUCACCGUAUAAAGGCUGUUAUCUAUCCGGUUAUCUAUUUUCUUGAUUACAUUCUCUGAUCAAUUGAAACAAACUAUUAUUACUCACUCCAAUCUUCAAAUCAGGUAAUAAGAACUCAUUAGAAAACUAAAGAUUAAUAAGUAUGCUUAAUUCAGUUGCUAACAUUUUUGAGAAUAUAUUUUAUAUUCAAUGCUUUUACUAAAUACUACUUUAUGCUAAAUGAAAUUACAACAAAUUUGUUAAAAAACAACAUGGAUUUUUACCCGUUCUGUCAACAGUUACCAAUUUGAUAAACAGCAGCUUAAUAUUAUUAUGACAGACUAUGCGAAAGCUUGUGAUAAGGUGAAUUUCAGUUAAUAUUAAAAUUAGGAUAAGGCAUGUUGACCCCAAUCACAUUAUUUUGAAGUAAGUAAUCAACUGUUGUUCUAUGUUCCAUUACUUUCGGGACACCCUGUAUAAUUUUUUAAAAACUACCUGUGUUUCGCUCCAAUCGAGCAUAACAUCAUCAGACCUGAAAAUAACUUUAAAAUGUUACAAAAAGAGCGCUUAUAAAAUAUGAUAAAACUUUUUAUCUAGACCUACACCUACACAGAUCACAUUACAACUAACAACAAAUCAAAAGCUAGGUUAGCAAACAAUAUUAGGAUACAUUAAUUUCCGCACCCACGCGGGCCUAUGAAAUCACGGAUCGCUUUCGGAUUUUGUCUUUGUCAGUCGGCAUCGUCGAAAUAAUCGGCGGGACUGUUGAUGUGGUUUGCUAACCUCACUUUCAAUUUUCAGCUUUGAGUUUUUGAAACGUUUUGUUGUUUAUUUACAAUUUGUGCAACCAAGAGUAAUUAUUAUUACUUACAUUAUCUUGUUUCCUUGUAAAUUCAAAACACCACUGUAUAUUUACAUUAAUUUACUACACCUUUAUUCGGUGAACAUGGAUAUAAACAGGAAUUUGGCAGAGUUUGAAAUUUGGAGGUCUGCAGAAAACAGAGAGGUAGAUUAUGCUGUUCAUCGAAGAAAGAAAUGUGCUAAUAAGGAAGAAUUUAUUUACUAUAAUUGUAAUAGAAGUGAUUCAAAAGGAUAUGUCAGUACAUGUUUGCAACGGAAUUUAAAGUCUAAAGGAAGCAUUGGUAUGCAAGGAAUUUGUCCAUCAAGAAUAAUAGUUAAAAUUCUAGUAGAUGGAGUGAUUAGAGUAAGAUUUUUUGAAACCCACGUAGGACACCCUGACGAAUUAAGAAGCAAAAGGCUAACAAAAUCGGAACAGGAGAUAAUUGUGGAUAAAUUAGCAACAGGAGUUUCAAAUAAGAGAAUUAUUCAGGAGGCCAGAAGCAUAGACGGCAAUAAACUACAAAGGAAAAAUUGUAUAACAAGAGAAGAUUUACAGUACCUAAUACGAAAAUUUAAUAUUGACAAGUAAAGGGACAGUGAUGUCAGUGAAAAAAUCAUGGAUGUUUAUUUAAACAGAUAGGAGAAACUUAUCCAGGAUUAGAAGAAGAUGAUUUUGCAGUUGAAUAUAUGAAUGCUAUUAUCGAAAAAAAAAUAAGAGAUUUUCCAAAAAUAAUCUGUAUAGAUGGAACUCAUGGAACAAAUAGGAGAAACUGGGACUUGACAAUUGUGUUAAUAAGAGAUGAACAAAAUAUAGGUUUUCCAGUGGCAUUCUUACUAAUUAACAGAUCAGAUCAAUUAAUUCAAGAAGUUUGUUUAGGGCACUUAAAACUAGAUUAGGGGAAGCAGUUCAAGCUGAAUAUACAGGGUGUCAUUGAAAUGGUGUAAAAAAAUUCGGG